rnacentral:misc_RNA from 1 species
GAUGAAGAACGUAGCGAAAUGCGAUACGUAAUGUGAAUUGCAAAUUCAGUGAAUCAUCGAGUCUUUGAACGCACAUUGCGCCCCCUGGUAUUCCGGGUGGCAUGCCUGUCCGAGCGUCAUUGCUGCCCUCAAGCACGGCUUGUGUGUUGGGCCCCGUCCUCCGAUCCCGGGGGACGGGCCCGAAAGGCAGCGGCGGCACCGCGUCCGGUCCUCGAGCGUAUGGGGCUUUGUCACCCGCUCUGUAGGCCCGGCCGGCGCUUGCCGAUCAACCCAAAUUUUUAUCCAGGUUGACCUCGGAUCAGGUAGGGAUACCCGCUGAACUUAAGCAUAUCAAUAAGCGGAGGA